rnacentral:rRNA from 1 species
UACGUAGGGGGCGAGCGUUGUCCGAAGUUACUGGGCGUAAAGAGCGCGUAGGCGGGUCUUUAAGUGAGUGGUGAAAGGUUCGGGCUCAACCCGGACACUGCCUUUCAUACUGGGGACCUUGAGUGCGGGAGGGGCGAGUGGAAUGGUCGGUGUAGCGGUGAAAUGCGUAGAUAUCGAUCGGAACACCCAUGGCGAAGGCAGCUCGCUGGCCUGCAACUGACGCUGAGGCGCGAAAGCUGGGGGAGAAAGCGGG